ensembl:lncRNA
UUUUUUCUUUUUUCUUUUUUUUUUGCAUUUUAAAGGAAAACUUCCAGUUUACAUUUCCCCACACCCAUUUUAUAGCCCACUCAUGCGCUCACCACUGCAAUGUGAAAAUUUUACUUUUGGUCAAUUAUUGUCCUUCUGCAAAAUCGCCAAAGAGAACUCAUCAGUCUCACUAUCCUGAAGAGAAUACAGUAACACAGUAAGACUGAAAUUCUGCAAGAGACUGUGUAUGAAUACUUCUUCAUACCUCUCUUCACACUGGCAUAAAAUAUUAAAAAGAAACCUUUCCCAAAAUGUACUAGGGGAAAACAGUAAGUGGGAGGGGAGAAUGUAGUAAAACAAAAACUAAUCCAUUUCACUUUGUACUUCAGAGUUUUCUUGCUCUAGAUAUUGAGAAUAUUUCUAGAAAUGCCUUAAGGUGGAACCAGAUGUGAAAUCAAUUUCAGGGCAUUAAGGAAAAUAUGUUGGGCCGUGGUUACAGUCCCCGCUCUCUCUUUGCUAACACCAUUUUGAGUCGCUUUUUAAAAAUUCCCGUUCUUUCCUGAUCCCCUUUGGACAAAUACUUAUAAUUAUCUUCUUUUUUUUUUUUUUUUUUUUAACUAGCCAAAGAAGCAGCAGCAACAUCAUAUUUAUUUGUAAAACUUUAUUGCCGUCCUAACCAAGGUGACCCAACCGUCUCUCAUGACUGUUGAGACCUCCAGAUUGGAGCCUUUCCUCUUGCUUUCUCCAAUCUUUGUUGAAACGGCCUUAGUGGGUGGAUUCUAAUUCCUGGGUUGUCAAUAGCAAGUCAUGUGGCCUUAGUUCAAUCUUACCCCUGUGGCAUCACUACUUCUCUGUCGUAAAAGAUGGACCUGGAUGUGAUGUUGUCUGAGGUUCCUGCUGCUUCUCCCAUCCCAUGGCCCUCCCAUUCCGCCCUAGAAGACUAGGACAUGGAGUUGUAAGGUGGUGGGGUUCUCUGCAAAGGGUCCUCUCCUCCUGCUCCCCUCUGUUUCUGGGCAGGCAUGAUGGAUGCUGAGCACAUCCUCACUGGGAGGAAAAGCCAUCACUCUGCUCCAGACAGAGGGGAUCAGGAGGAAAAGGGCUGAUGUUCCCCACUGCUGGUUGUGCAUAGGUGGGGUCCUUAUAUCCUGCACCCCAGGCUGACUGGAAGUUCAGGGAAGUUCAGGAGUGUUUUUUUCUCGCUUGUGGAUGGUGCUUCACCCUUCAGUAAACCCACGGCCCACGCUUCAGCUCAUCCUCCUGGCAGGUGAUCCUUUUGCCCCUGAUAUAUCACUACCUAGCAAUCCGUCCAGACUCAGCCAUCAGGAGGACCUGACAAAAAUGCUCAUUUGAUUUUUUUCUCUCUCUCCCCUACAGAUACCAAAUACUGCUGGAAGGAUGCAAAGGGUGAAAGGAUGUCACAAAAAGUAGCUUUUCCACUUGAUGAAAACAACUAAAACAGCAAAGCAAGUUCAAAUCCAAACACAAUACUGCAGGGGUCCUUCACUGAGGAUUGAAUUUUAGACACAGAAUACUCUUGAUGGUUUCAACCCACUAUGCUCCUUUGAUUUGAGAAGCCACAGUCCAUCCCCCUCCAAUUGUAAUCAAUGCCUAGGGAGACCAAUGCCCAGACGGACAAACAGCAUUCACGGGCCUUAGCCCUGCUCCUCUCCAUUCCCAUCGCGUAGAGAACAGGAGUCAGGAGCCGCUGGCAGGAGACAGCAUGUCAGCCGGAACUCUGCAAGGGCAGAGUAUG